rnacentral:rRNA from 1 species
UACGAAGGGGGCUAGCGUUGCUCGGAAUCACUGGGCGUAAAGCGCACGUAGGCGGAUUGUUAAGUCAGGGGUGAAAUCCUGGAGCUCAACUCCAGAACUGCCUUUGAUACUGAGGAUCUUGAGUUCGGGAGAGGUGAGUGGAACUGCGAGUGUAGAGGUGAAAUUCGUAGAUAUUCGCAAGAACACCAGUGGCGAAGGCGGCUCACUGGCCCGAU